rnacentral:rRNA from 1 species
UGAAUCGGUGGAUUAUAACUUU